rnacentral:rRNA from 1 species
GAUGAACGCUGACAGAAUGCUUAACACAUGCAAGUCUAACGCGAAGCUGUGCUUGCACUGCCUAGCCACGGCGGCCGGGUGGGUAACGCGUCAUGAACUUGCCCUCCCUUCAGGGAGAACAGACGGAAACGACUGAUACUACCAGGUGAAGUCAGGCGGACUCAUGUCCAGCCUGAUGGAAAGAGGUGCUGCAGGGGAGCCUUGCGUCCUAUUAGCUUGUUGGUGGGGUAACGGCCCACCAAGGCGAUGAUAGGUAGGCGGCCGGAGGGGGCGGGCGGCCAUAAGGGUACUGAGCUACGGACCCUACUCCUGCGGGAAGCAGCAGGGGAGAAUAUUGGACAAUGGGGGCAACCAUGCAGCAGCGCUGCGGUGGGGAUGAUGGACGUUUUCUGAUAGUAAAGUGCUUGCAGCAAGGAAGAGAAAAUGACGGUACCUGCAGAAGAAGCGACGGCUAACUACGUG